UAUCCUCGAACAAUCCCAAUUUUGACAACCGUCCCUCUCGAAUCUCGAUCCUUGUCGCAGCGCCGCGCCGCCAUUUAAUUCCUCCAAGCUGAUCGCCGCGCCGCCAUUCAAUUCAGUGAUCGGUGCACCGCUAAAUAACCUACCGAUUCCUCUAAUCGAUCGCAAAUUCUACCGAUUCCUACCAAUUCUCCCUCAGAUCGAUCGCAAAUAAUCCUGCCGCCGCUGUUCAAGCGUCGUGCGCCUCCGCCGCCGCGACUCAGCGACGCUCGCCAUCCAGGAUCGGGACCCGCGCUGCUGGCAGAGUAAUCAAAUCUGCUAGCGGCCCAGCGCCGCUGCCGCCGCCGCACCUCAUAGUACCCCAAGUUACCGUCCUCGACGCAGCAUCGUCGAAUGAACACCGAGAAGGGGAUGACGCGACUGGGCACUGAGAUGGUGAUGGAAGAGGGUGGCUGGGCGUGGGUUGCUGGAUCCUGGUCGGCAGAGGUGGUCCUCCCUGCUGUCAGGGCUAGGCAAUGCAGGCAUUGCCGCUGCUUCACACCGUCGUGGAAUGGAGACAUCUCCAAUUCUCCAUCCUACCAAAGGGAAUUGGCGGUUUCGUAUGCGGGGCAGCAACAUUUGAGGUAGCCCAUUCGGUGGUUUGGCAUCUUAAUCUGCCAAAGCUUCUUCCAGGGUGUAUGCUUGUUGCAUUGAUCCAUCUAUUUUCUUCAAUAUCUUCUUAGUGAGUAUCCGGCCUCAGUGAGAUUUUAUUUCUAAAACGACUAACUAGCUAUCCAUACAUUUUAUUUCUCGGCAGACUUGCUAGGAUACUGGUGUGAUACUGGAGUGCGCAGCAACAUAAGGAAUACAUGUGAUGAAUUGUUUUUUUUCUGCUUAAGCAAAAGAAUAUUAGAUAGAGGUUGAAAUCAUUAAUGGACGAAUUCGAAUAUUUUGGAUGCGCAAAACAAUGAUCAAGAAGCAGCAGAUUUCAAGAAUACUUUAUAUUUACAUUUCAUUUCCAGCAAGACAGAAUUGCACUCUUCGCUGCUAUACACUCAUACAUGUAGAUUUGCUACCUAGAAUAAUGUUGCUAUGUGUAUAUACGAUGACAUAUAUAUUAUGAACAAGCAAUCCAAUUUUUACUCUCCGAGAUGAAUGUAUCUUCCUAUCCUUAUUGAAAUCUAUUUGUGAUUUGUGUGAUUCUA